rnacentral:lncRNA from 1 species
GAGACUGUGGACUUUACUGUUCUUGACUUCAUUUUUCCCCCCUUAGAAGCCAUAUAAAACCAUUCAUGCCCAAAAAGUCUGUGACCUUUAGAGGGACACAUAAAAACAGGAAAUCUUCUCAACUGGUAAUAAAAUGUUCUAAGGGUCCUGAAGUUUCUAUUUCCUGUGUCCCAACCAUGACACUUAGGCCACUGCUGUGAACCUAGUCCUCUUGGCCAACAUAGCUGGGAAAGGCUUCUGUAGUUGCUUCUCUUAAUGAGAGGGAGGACCCAGAUCAGCUGACCUGUGGGGCCAGUGAGAAUCUGCAAGAGUCCUGUGUGCAGCAAAAGAAAGGUUCUCAGGCUGGCCUCGGGGCUAUCACUCUGAAACUGCUGGGCCCCGGUGACGGCCACCAGUAAUUAACCACAUCUGGACUGCCUCUGACCUGGGCAGGAUUAAUAGGGCUGUGUGGCUAGGGUCGAGGGAAGCCUGAGAAAGAAUGUGAGCAUGGGGGCUGAGGAACCCACCACACAAGCUCCCCGUUUAGGUAACCUUACUGACAGCAAUAUUCCGUGUAUUUUUAUAUUGCCCCCAGGUGACCAUGGUUAGUAUUUUGGAAUAUACGUUAUUCUUUUCUAACUUAUUUUAUAUUAUACUGUUUUACUGAAGAACUCCAGGUGAAUAAAUAAAUAUAUGUUUAUCAACAUUCCUAGCAAGUAUAUAAUAUUCUAUUUUAUUAAUGUUUUUUGUAUUUGACUUAAGCAAAAUUUAAAAUAAAAUUGGGAGAAAUGUGCUGGGCUACUUGUAUGAA